AACGAAAGUUGCGUGUCAGUAUAUAUGAUAAAAAGAAUUAUAUUCUCUUUGACGAAAAUAUAGGAAUGGUAGGUAUUGGGAACGGUGUGGUUGGAAGCAUAUUACCCUAUGAGCCAAUGGUGCAAAUAAGACAGUUUGUCUUUGGUUUUUUGUGUCACUUCUCGUGAUGCAUAAUGGCCUUGUUGCUCACCUGGCCUAAAUUAUCCUCAUUGCAUAUCCCAGUGCCCCUACAACGAGACACAUGGCCCAUAUAUGCAUGUGCCACUACGACCGGACCAACUAUCACAAUCACAUAUUGUCAGACGUCGUCGUGUUGAGGAAGUCAUGUACCCUCACUACCAAAGUUCUGGCCUGCAAGAGCAUGAAUGGGACCACGCAACUCCACAAGCAUUCUUUAGCAUAUGAUUGUUUGUAUCUGAAGUCCACGAUGUAUA
rnacentral:lncRNA from 1 species